GACGAACGCUGGCGGCGUGCUUAACACAUGCAAGUCGAACGGAAAGGCCCUUCGGGGUACUCGAGUGGCGAACGGGUGAGUAACACGUGGGUGAUCUGCCCUGCACUUUGGGAUAAGCCUGGGAAACUGGGUCUAAUACCGAAUAGGACCACGCGCUUCAUGGUGUGUGGUGGAAAGCUUUUGCGGUGUGGGAUGGGCCCGCGGCCUAUCUGCUUGUUGGUGGGGUAAUGGCCUACCAAGGCGACGACGGGUAGCCGGCCUGAGAGGGUGACCGGCCACACUGGGACUGAGAUACGGCCCAGACUCCUACGGGAGGCAGCAGUGGGGAAUAUUGCACAAUGGGCGCAAGCCUGAUGCAGCGACGCCGCGUGAGGGAUGACGGCCUUCGGGUUGUAAACCUCUUUCAAUAGGGACGAAGCGCAAGUGACGGUACCUAUAGAAGAAGCACCGGCCAACUACGUG
rnacentral:rRNA from 1 species